GUUAUAUUUCCGUGGUGUUUUUAAAACAAUAUAUUUUCCUUAUUCUUCUGAUUAUUUCCAUUAUUAACACAGAUUACAGAUUAUUAACAUUAUAUUUGUACUCCUUUGAUUAUUUGGGUGCUAUAUUUUUAUAAUAUUACAUUUAUAUUAUUAUUAUAUUUAUAUUUUUU